GGGUAAGUUCUGUACGACCAGCUCCCACCAAAUCCCCCAGGUUCGGAAGGAAGCAAGGGUAGGUGGUUGUAGCGGUGCGAUACAGGGGGCUUACCCUUU
rnacentral:SRP_RNA from 1 species